ACACCUCAAGUACUGUGUUCAGCUUUGGGUCCCACACUACAAGAAAGUCAUCAAGGCCCUGGAGCAUGUUCAGAGAAGGAUUCACAAACAUUAGAUGAGAAGAAUGCAUACGAUCUUCAAAUCUGAAUUCGUCUGUAUGUGGACCAUGGACAGAUUUACGGAUUUCCAAACAAAGGAAAAUUCAGUGAGAGUGCACACUGUACUUCUGAUUCCAGCAGAUGCACACAGGAAGCCCACCUCUGGUAUCACAAUAGCACUCCAUGCUGAUCAUCACCAGAGCCCAGUGUUCAAUUCAGAGGCAAUGUCAAAAAGAGCAACAGAAGAGAAAGAGAAGAGAGAAGAAACUAGCCUGGAUUGAUUUAAAGAGCAGGCCUGAAGGAACCUCUUAGAGUAUGUUUGUGUCUUUGUAUAACUGGAGCUGGCUUGCUGUAAAUGAGAUGCAAAAUGGAGGAAUUCAGGAAAUUCAUACGGCAGUUUCAGUGCUGCACAGGACUGCAAGUUUGAUCCCAGAGGCACCUUGAAGAAGCUUUUCUGUUGUGAAACCCAUCUUUCAGAAGCGCAUUAUGAAGUUAAGUCACUCACCAAGAGCUGAAACCUAGGAGCUGUCAAGGGCUUUCUAUUUUAAAUGACAUUUAUCUUCAUCUUGGAAAGGUAGCACAGCCACUCUAUGGCAGUCUUCUACCAUUUGCAGUUCCUAAUUGUUGUCCAAUGAUGACCAUACAACUAUCUUCAGCUCAGACAUCAAUGUCUGUCCCAAUAAUAGCUACUGGACAGUUCAGAGAUAUAUGCCAAAGGAAACUGAAAUGAUCACAGCUACAAGGUCAGGUGUCCCUGCAUCAUAAUAUAAUGGUGGCAAUGUGGAACACCCCUGGAUUAACUUGUGCUAGCAUAAGGACUAAAAAGAAAGAUCUCAGCAUGUUUCAAAAUCCUACUUUAAGAUAUAAAAGGUUUUCCUCCAGAGAAAACAAACACUUGAUCCCCACACGUUGAGGUCUGUAAAGGCUGCUGUUUCCAUUUUAAGAUAUGAAACCCUAUAACAUGGAACAAUCGCCCCCAAAUUAUAUACAUUGCAGAUUAAUUUUUGCUGAUUAUUAUCCACUGAAUUCAUUUUAGAGAACAACUCACUAGAGGAUAAACGUCAAUUUCAUUAUUAUUUUUCAAAACUAAGAUUCAAUUUUGCAUUUCUAUCAGAUUCAAAAUAAUUUUCUAUGUAACUCAGUGGGAUAUUCAUAUGUGCUCAGAAACUAACGAGGUAUGGGAAAUAGAUAUACUAUCAUAAAAGGAAAAUCACUAAAUGAGGGAAAAAAAAAAAGAUUGUAAAAGGGCCUUUUCAGUAAAAAGAACAAUUUCAUCACUGAGUAGAACUACUUGUUCACUGUAUCUCUGUUUUUUGCCAUCUCAAGUGGCCUGUUCAAUUCUGUUACUAUUUCAGAACAUUCUGCUUCUACUGACUGAAGGAAUACUGUUCAUUAAAAAUCUUUGUAAAGCAAUGUUAAAAAGAAAAAUGAAGUAAAUUAAUUUAUAAAGAAUU
ensembl:lncRNA